GACGAACGCUGGCGGCGCGCUUAACACAUGCAAGUCGAACGGAAAGGCCUGCUUUCCCUUGUGGAUUGCGGGUACUCGAGUGGCGAACGGGUGAGUAACACGUGAGUGAUCUGCCCCCAACUUGGGUAUAAGCCUGGGAAACUGGGUCUAAUUCCCGAUAGGACUGCAGGGUGGUGCCUGUGGUGGAAAACGAUUUUCUAGUGGUUGGGGAUGAGCUCGCGGCCUAUCAGCUUGUUGGUGGGGUAAUGGCCACCAAGGCGGCGACGGGUAGCCGGCCGGAGAGGGUGGACGGCCACAUUGAGACUGGGAUACGGCCCAGACUCCUACGGGAGGCAGCAGUGGGGAAUAUUGCACAAUGGGCGGAAGCCUGAUGCAGCGACGCCGCGUGGGGGAUGACGGCCUUCGGGUUGUAAACUCCUUUCGACCGCGAGGAAGCCACCUGGUUGGAAGGGUGGUGACGGUAGUGGUAGAAGAAGCACCGGCUAACUACGUG
rnacentral:rRNA from 1 species